rnacentral:rRNA from 1 species
AGAGUUGAUUAUGGCUCAGGAUGAACGCUGGCGGCGUGCCUAACACAUGCAAGUCGAACGGGAACUCCUAAAUGAAGGUUCGCUGGAUUUAGGAAAUUCUAGUGGCGGACGGGUGAGUAACGCGUGGGUAACCUGCCCUUAAGAGGGGAAUAACAUUGAGAAAUCAGUGCUAAUACACCAUAUGCUUACAGUGUCGCAUGACACAGUGAGGAAAUGAAUUUCGCUUAAGGAUGGACCCGCGUUUGAUUAGCCAGUUGGCAGGGUAACGGCCUACCAAAGCAACGAUCAAUAGCCGGCCUGAGAGGGUGAACGGCCACAUUGGAACUGAGACACGGUCCAAACUCCUACGGGAGGCAGCAGUGGGGAAUAUUGCACAAUGGGGGAAACCCUGAUGCAGCGACGCCGCGUGAGUGAUGAAGUAUUUCGGUAUGUAAAGCUCUAUCAGCAGGGAAGAUCAUGACGGUACCUGACUAAGAAGCUCCGGCUAAAUACGUGCCAGCAGCUGC